ACCAGCGGCGAUAGCACGUUGAUUAUACCAGUUUCCCACGACUAACUGAAGUUAAGCAACGUUGCGCGUGGUUAGUACCUGGAUGGUGACCAUCUUAGGAAUUGUGUACUGCUGGGU
rfam:Asian citrus Psyllid, Diaphorina citri - Florida Strain, whole genome shotgun sequence.